rnacentral:rRNA from 1 species
CGGACGGGUGAGUAACGCGUGGGUAACCUGCCUCAUACAGGGGGAUAACAGUUAGAAAUGGCUGCUAAUACCGCAUAAGACCACAGCGCCGCAUGGUGCAGGGGUAAAAACUCCGGUGGUAUGAGAUGGACCCGCGUCUGAUUAGCUAGUUGGUGGGGUAACGGCCUACCAAGGCGACGAUCAGUAGCCGACCUGAGAGGGUGACCGGCCACAUUGGGACUGAGACACGGCCCAA